CCCUUAGAUGUCCUGGGCCGCACGCGCGCUACAAUGACUUACUCAGAAAGUUUUUCCUGGUCCGGAAGGAUUCAGGGUAAUCUUUGUAAUAUAAGUCGUGUUAGGGAUCGAUCUUUGCAAUUAUAGAUCUUGAACGAGGAAUGCCUAGUAAGUGCAGCUCAUCAGGCUGUACUGAUUACGUCCCUGCCCUUUGUACACACCGCCCGUCGCUCCUACCGAUUUCGAGUGGUCCGGUGAACCUUCUGGACUGGGGAUUUUCGGAUUCUCGGGAAGUUAAGUAAACCUUAUCACUUAGAGGAAGGAGAAGUCGUAACA
rnacentral:rRNA from 1 species